rnacentral:RNase_P_RNA from 1 species
GCUGCAGGCCGUGCUAUCGGGUCAUUUAUUGUGAUCAGGAAAGUCCGGACAGCAUAGGGCAACGUACCGGUUAAGAGCCGGGUCAUGCUUCAGCAUGAACAGAUAGUGCCACAGAAAAUAACUACCCCGUUCGAAAGGCCGGGGCAAAGGUGAAAACGUGAGGUAAGAGCUCACGGUUUUCCUGAGCGAUCAGGAUCACGGGUAAACCUUGCGUGCUGAAAUGCCACAUAUACCAACGGUAAGGGCUGCCCGCUCAAACGCAUCGACUACAUAUCGGUGCUUCGUUGGAGGGUAGGCAGAAAGAGGUUCUGAGCAAUCAGGAUCCCAGAUAAAUGAUAGCAGAGUCGCUCACGCGAUGUUACAGGAUCCGGCUUACAGGUCUGCAGCUUUU